CCCUAGUAACGGCGAGUGAAGCGGCAACAGCUCAAAUUUGAAAUCUGGCUCUUUUAGAGUCCGAGUUGUAAUUUGCAGAGGGCGCUUUGGCUUUGGCAGCGGUCCAAGUUCCUUGGAACAGGACGUCACAGAGGGUGAGAAUCCCGUACGUGGUCGCUGGCUAUUGCCGUGUAAAGCCCCUUCGACGAGUCGAGUUGUUUGGGAAUGCAGCUCUAAAUGGGAGGUACAUUUCUUCUAAAGCUAAAUAUUGGCCAGAGACCGAUAGCGCACAAGUAGAGUGAUCGAAAGAUGAAAAGCACUUUGGAAAGAGAGUCAAACAGCACGUGAAAUUGUUGAAAGGGAAGCGCUUGCAGCCAGACUUGCUUACAGUUGCUCAUCCGGGCUUUUGCCCGGUGCACUCUUCUGUAGGCAGGCCAGCAUCAGUUUGGGCGGUAGGAUAAAGGUCUCUGUCACGUACCUCCUUUCGGGGAGGCCUUAUAGGGGAGACGACAUACUACCAGCCUGGACUGAGGUCCGCGCAUCUGCUAGGAUGCUGGCGUAAUGGCUGUAAGCGGCCCGUCUUGAAACACGGACCAAGGAGUCUAACAUCUAUGCGAGUGUUUGGGUGUCAAGCCCGAGCGCGUAAUGAAAGUGAACGGAGGUGGGAACCCGCAAGGGUGCACCAUCGACCGAUCCUGAUGUCUUCGGAAGGAUUUGAGUAAGAGCAUGGCUGUUGGGACCCGAAAGAUGGUGAACUAUGCUUGAAUAGGGUGAAGCCAGAGGAAACUCUGGUGGAGGCUCGCAGCGGUUCUGACGUGCAAAUCGAUCGUCAAAUUUGGGCAUAGGGGCGAAAGACUAAUCGAACUAUCUAGUAGCUGGUUCCUGCCGAAGUUUCCCUCAGGAUAGCAGUAACGUAUUCAGUUUUAUGAGGUAAAGCGAAUGAUUAGAGGCCUGGGGGUUGAAACAACCUUCACCUAUUCUCAAACUUUAAAUAUGUAAGAAGUCCUUGUUACUUAAUUGAAC
rnacentral:rRNA from 1 species